ensembl:lncRNA
GCGAGAGACAGUUUCUGAAGCUAAAGUUGGAUGACACAAGGGUACACUGAGGGACACAGUCACUUUAGGAAGAUUUUCAAAGUGCCAAGCACAAAUAGAGGUUUGCUAAGUCAUAACGGCUAAUUGAUACAAACUUAAUGAAUGCGGGUGGUACCGAGACAGAUGCUUUGUGGAAUGCGACAGAUUUCUGUUACUGAAUGCCUCGUGUUGCGUCGCACAUCAAGACACCGAGAACAUUUGGCAGGUCACGGAGUUACACAAGGAGAGGGGAGGCUUGCGAAAGUGGGAAAAAAGCCCAUGUGAGUUGUGUGUGUCGGUGUGUGUAUCUGUGGUAUGUCUGCUCUUGAGCUUGCCUGUUUGUUUGAACGCUCCCUCUUUUGUUUGGGCUUUCGAGGCUCGCCAGCUCUGUGGCUUGCAAUUAGCGCUCAGGCCUCAGGGACCUAAUUAACCAGUGCAAUUAAUUCAUUUCUUAUUUAUUUAUUUUUUUAAAUCCUGUACAAGUCACCCUGACAUUUGUCAGCCAGUCAGGAGGUGUUCAUCGUAAGCGAUGAUUAGCUCGUUUGCGAGCUCUCCUUUUCCCCCAGGUGGUGGUUAGUCGGCGGAGGAGGGGUGGGCCACGGAGGAAGAGGGACAGCGAUGGUGGGCUCACGUCUGCGGGGAGGCAGGCGCCGAAACGUCGCAGCUAUGGUGAUGAGUGGAAGCGGGGGUGCGCUGACCUUUCAUCGAGUCCGCAAUCAAUAUGGUGCGAAGGCUGGUGCCUUUGAUGAGCAGGCCUUGCCCGCCUGGAGACGACCUGCGGCCGUGGUCGCAAAGAGGCGGGGGAAAGGAAGGUCGAGAGCUGCACGAUCAAUAAUUGAUACGGUGUGGUACGGCCGACUUUCCUUUUUUCCUUUAGAGCCCUUGUCACUAACUGUUGUCAGAACACAUUUACUUUGAUGCCAAAUUUGAAGAAGCAAAAAAUGGCAUCAUAUGUGAUUAUAUAUUUAAGGCUGUAGAAAGGUUGGGGUAGAUCGGCAGCUCAGGUGCACCUUUUCCCCGUGUGUUCAAGGCGCUCUAUUGAAGUUGCGUGUGUUGUUGCCAGCCUCUGCCUUAAACACACGGAUGCAUUGUAAGGAGAUUCCUCCUUCUAAAAGAGGAGAUGAAAAGAUCUGUUUUUUUGUUUUUUUUUUGUCUUUGUCAUGUGUCAGUAAACACAGAGACUGUUUUGAGAUGAGGGCAGAUCACACAAAAGAAACUUACUCUUUAAACUCUGAGCCAUGGGACGGUGGGGGGAACGUCACGUGAGAGGGUUGUCUUUACCUGGACCGCUCUGUUUCAUCUGAAAAGGAGAUGUGAGGAAGACAAACCCAGUAACCCAUAAUGCAUACUCAUGUUUGAUUUUGGAUCUGAGCAUGUUAACCUGGGAUAAGUUUUGAAGAAUAGUUAAAAGAUGAGGACCACCUGAAUUUAGGAAAAAAAAGGUGGCCAUUAGAAUGCAUGAGCAUAAUCAAAGUGUACAACAAGGUUAAAAAACCCUUAAAGAAAAUUUGAUUUAUUUAUUUACUUUUUUCCUGAUCCCAGAAUGACAAUAAAAAAUGAUAUAUAUUUUUUUAUUUUUAAUAA